rnacentral:rRNA from 1 species
UACAGAGGGUGCAAGCGUUGUCCGGAAUUAUUGGGCGUAAAGAGCGCGUAGGCGGUCCGAUAAGUCGGCUGUGAAAGUCAUGGGCUCAACCCAUGAAAGCCGGCCGAUACUGUCGGACUAGAGUCCGGAAGAGGCAAGUGGAAUUCCCGGUGUAGCGGUGAAAUGCGCAGAUAUCGGGAGGAACACCGGUGGCGAAGGCGGUUCUCUGGGCAUUACCUGACGCUGAGGAGCGAAAGUGUGGGGAGCGAACAGG